AAACGGGGAGUUUGAUCCUGGCUCAGGGUGAACGCUGGCGGUAUGCUUAACACAUGCAAGUCGAACGGGAUCUUUGGGUUUAGUGGCGGGCGGGUGAGUAACGCGUGAGAAUCUAGCUCUAGGUCGGGGGCAACCCCUGGAAACGGUGGCUAAUACCGGGUGUGCCGAAAGGUGAAAGAUUUAUUGCCUAGAGAUGAGCUCGCGUCUGAUUAGCUAGUUGGUGUGGUAAGAGCGCACCCCGGCGACGAUCAGUAGCUGGUCUGAGAGGGUGAUCAGCCCCACUGGGGCUGAGACACGGCCCCGACUCCUACGGGGGGCAGCAGUGGGGGAUUUUUCGCAAUGGGCGAAAGCCUGACGGGGCAAUACCGCGUGAGGGGGGGAGGCUCUUGGGUUGUAAACCUCUUUUUUCAGGGGAUAAGAAAGUGAAGGUACCUGAGGGAUAAGCAUCGGCUAACUCCGUGCCCGCAGCCGCGGUAAUACGGGGGGUGCAAGCGUUAUCCGGGAUGAUUGGGCGUAAAGCGUCCGCAGGUGGCACUGUAAGUCUGCUGUUAAAGAGCAAGGCUCAACCUUGUAAAGGCAGUGGGAACUACAGAGCUAGAGUACGUUUGGGGCAGAGGGGAUUUCUGGUGUAGCGGUGAAAUGCGUAGAGAUCAGGGAGAACACCGGUGGCGAAAGCGCUCUGCUAGGCCGUAACUGACACUGAGGGGCGAAAGCUAGGGGGGCGAAUGGGGUUAGAUACCCCCGUAGUCCUAGCCGUAAACGAUGGGUACUAGGCGUGGCUUGUAUCGACCCGAGCCGUGCCGGGGCCCCCGCGUUAAGUAUCCCGCCUGGGGGGUACGCACGCAAGUGUGAAACUCAAAGGGAUUGACGGGGGCCCGCACAAGCGGUGGGGUAUGUGGUUUAAUUUGAUGCAACGCGAAGAACCUUACCCCGACUUGACAUGUCGCGAAUCUUUUUGAAAGGGGAGAGUGCCUUAGGGGGCGCGAACACAGGUGGUGCAUGGCUGUCGUCAGCUCGUGUCGUGGAUGUUGGGUUAAGUCCCGCAACGAGCGCAACCCUCGUUUUUAGUUGCCCGCAUUAAGUUGGGCACUCUAGAGAGACUGCCGGUGACAAACCGGGGGGAGGUGGGGGUGACGUCAAGUCAGCAUGCCCCUUACGUCUUGGGCUACACACGUACUACAAUGCUACGGACAGAGGGCAGCAAGCUAGCGAUAGCAAGCAAAUCCCGUAAACCGUAGCUCAGUUUAGAUCGCAGGCUGCAACUCGCCUGCGUGAAGGGGGGAUCGCUAGUAAUUGCAGGUCAGCAUACUGCAGUGAAUUUGUUUCCGGGCCUUGUACACACCGCCCGUCACACCCUGGGAGCUGGCAACGCCCGAAGUCAUUACUCCCCCCCUUUGUGGGGGGGGGUGCCUAAGGCAGUGCUGGUGACUGGGGUGAAGUCGUAACAAGGUAGCCGUACCGGGAGGUGUGGCUGGGUCACCUCCUUU
rnacentral:rRNA from 1 species